UGGGGAAUAUUGCACAAUGGGCGCAAGCCUGAUGCAGCCAUGCCGCGUGUAUGAAGAAGGCCUUCGGGUUGUAAAGUACUUUCAGCGGGGAGGAAGGGAGUAAAGUUAAUACCUUUGCUCAUUGACGUUACCCGCAGAAGAAGCACCGGCUAACUCCGUGCCAGCAGCCGCGGUAAUACGGAGGGUGCAAGCGUUAAUCGGAAUUACUGGGCGUAAAGCGCACGCAGGCGGUUUGUUAGGUCAGAUGUGAAAUCCCCGGGCUCAACCUGGGAACUGCAUCUGAUACUGGCAAGCUUGAGUCUCGUAGAGGGGGGUAGAAUUCCAGGUGUAGCGGUGAAAUGCGUAGAGAUCUGGAGGAAUACCGGUGGCGAAGGCGGCCCCCUGGACGAAGACUGACGCUCAGGUGCGAAAGCGUGGGGAGCAAACAGG
rnacentral:rRNA from 1 species